rnacentral:rRNA from 1 species
GACGAACGCUGGCGGCGUGCUUAACACGUGCAAGUCGAACGGAAAGGCCCUGCUUUUGUGGGGUGCUCGAGUGGCGAACGGGUGAGUAACACGUGAGUAACCUGCCCUUGACUUUGGGAUAACUUCAGGAAACUGGGGCUAAUACCGGAUAGGAGCUCCUGCUGCAUGGUGGGGGUUGGAAAGUUUCGGCGGUUGGGGAUGGACUCGCGGCUUAUCAGCUUGUUGGUGGGGUAGUGGCUUACCAAGGCUUUGACGGGUAGCCGGCCUGAGAGGGUGACCGGCCACAUUGGGACUGAGAUACGGCCCAGACUCCUAAGGGAGGCAGCAGUGGGGAAUAUUGCACAAUGGGCGGAAGCCUGAUGCAGCAACGCCGCGUGCGGGAUGACGGCCUUCGGGUUGUAAACCGCUUUCGCCUGUGACGAAGCGUGAGUGACGGUAAUGGGUAAAGAAGCACCGGCUAACUACGUG